AGAUUCAAUGUUUCUCAACUUAAACAGCCAGAAUCGAUUCUAUACGGAAUGUUAAAGUGUUUCAUAGGAACUAAGUCAUGAUUUUCGUGAAGCUGCUUCAUAGAAAGGCGGUGGAUUUUGUGAAUCUGUGUAAAUAAGAGUCAGUGCUGCAGAUCAGAUUCUGUUUCAUCAUGGAGGACACACAAACAUCCACAGAUCAAGAGUUUUCUCCAGGAUGCAGGUGUCUGCAAAAAGUUGGUGUGCCACUUCUCACACAGCUGGAAAAAAGAGAGUGGCACUUGAGCAAGCCCAGAAACG